GGGACUGUGGGGUAGCUUGGUCCAUCCUUCGGGGUUCGGGACUCCGAGACGCCAGUUCAAAUCUGGCCAGUCCCA
rnacentral:tRNA from 2 species